UCCGAGGGGGCGCCAGAGCGCGCCAAAGAUCACGCCCACGUGCAAGGAUGCUCGGCGGGAGGCUGGGCUUCUAGCGUCCGGGCCGGUCUUCCCAGCUGCGGCCGCAGGCCCACGCCCCGUCCUUGCCCACACCUCCGCCCGCCGACCCAGGACACGUCUUUCCUCCGCUCCCUCGGGAUUUCAGGUCUCCCUAUACUAAUCUGAAGUUUAAUGGGCUCGUGGUUCCCCUACUCCCAAGUGGAGGAAGAACUUUCCUGUCCACACUUUGACUUCUGCAGUGACCUUCAGAUUCCAACAGCUAUAUCCCAUCUCUGCUGCGACCUAGCGGUGCACUGUUGUAGGUGAAAACAGAAAUCCAGGAGCAGGAGGGGACAUGACACUAUUCAUAGGUGGCCUCCCCCAAACUCCAACACUGCAAGAGCCCAGGUGACUGCACAGAGUGGGGCAGAGGUAAUAUUUCAGCCCUGGGCGUUUCAGGUAAACAGCUUCUUUGGUCAAGAUGACAAAGGUAUUUAUUACAGGAA
rnacentral:lncRNA from 12 species